rnacentral:rRNA from 1 species
AGUGAACGCUGGCGGUAGGCCUAACACAUGCAAGUCGAACGGCAGCACAGUAAGAGCUUGCUCUUACGGGUGGCGAGUGGCGGACGGGUGAGGAAUACAUCGGAAUCUACUUUUUCGUGGGGGAUAACGUAGGGAAACUUACGCUAAUACCGCAUAUGACCUACGGGUGAAAGCAGGGGAUCUUCGGACCUUGCGCGAUUGAAUGAGCCGAUGUCGGAUUAGCUAGUUGGCGGGGUAAAGGCCCACCAAGGCGACGAUCCGUAGCUGGUCUGAGAGGAUGAUCAGCCACACUGGAACUGAGACACGGUCCAGACUCCUACGGGAGGCAGCAGUGGGGAAUAUUGGACAAUGGGCGCAAGCCUGAUCCGGCCAUACCGCGUGGGUGAAGAAGGCCUUCGGGUUGUAAAGCCCUUUUGUUGGGAAAGAAAAGCAGCAGGUUAAUACCCCGCUGUUCUGACGGUACCCAAAGAAUAAGCACCGGCUAACUUCGUG